GUGCUUGCUUUCUGCAGCACAUGUACUGAAAUUGGGAUGAUACAGAGAAGAUUAGCUCCCCGUGCAAGGAUAACACCCAAAUUUGUGAAGUGUUUCAUAAUUUU
ensembl:snRNA U6 U6 spliceosomal RNA